GGCUGGUUAGCUCAGUCAAUUGAGCGUGGCACUGACAGCGUCAAUGUCGCGGGUUCGAUUCCCGUUCAGACCC
rnacentral:tRNA from 1 species